rfam:Ophiophagus hannah scaffold178.1, whole genome shotgun sequence.
GUUCCGCUGUAGCAGCACGUAAAUAUUGGUGUAGUAAAGAUAACGCCAAUAUUAUUGUGCUGCUUAAGUGUGAC